ensembl:snRNA U6 U6 spliceosomal RNA
AUGCUUCAGCAGUAUGACUAUCAAAGUUACAACAAUACAAAGAUUAACAUGGCACUUGCACAAGCAUGAUAUGAAAAUUUGUAAAGUAUACCAUAUUUUU